CCUGCAGCAUUGUUUUGCCUCUGCUGCACACAGCCCAUUUCUACUGGGAAUUAACAACCUUUUUGGUAAACCUGGUUCUGCAAAUAUUUGACGUCUGGAAAACUUUCAACAAAGACGGCGUUCGGAAGCCUGGCUCGGAGGCCCCAGGAUGACAACCUAAUUACAUUCCUUUUAAUAGCUCCUUCCCAAGUGCUCAGUCAGGGACAUCUGCUCUGCCGCGGUUGCACCUUCAGGGAGGAAUAUUUUUAACACCGUCAUGCCACAAAAGGAAACUUCUGAAGGCUGGAUGAAAAUGGCCUCUGCGUUCCCAGAGCCUCAGGGCCCAGUUUUCACAGAGGUAAAUUCAAUGUGCCAGGCCAUCUCAGCCUCGCCCAGCUUUCCGUGUUAGCAGGGUGUCUGAAAUAACCGUCCAGAGCACAGCAGAGCCACUGGUGCCAGCCCUGCGCGCUCCCACUGGGCCCCAUCAGUCAGGGUGCUUUCUGCUCCUGGCUGCUUCUACCUGUUUACUGGACUUACCUCCACACCCCAGCUGGGGGUCCCCCGCCCAGACCCUUGCUAUGGCAGAAGCCCCUGGGAUCAACAAGGAAAAUGCAAGGAGCCGAGAGGUUUCAAUAGGAGUGUGGCAUAAGGAUGGUCAGCAUGAGUGGGCACCAUCAGGCCAAGGAAAGAAGUCAACAGCACUCAGGGAAAUGAGGUCAGACCACAAGGGUAGCCAUAAACCACUCCCCACCACCACCCUAACACCACCACCAGUAAGUAACCCUUUAUUCCUUUUUCCCAUUUUGGCCUUAGCUUCCCUAGGGGUGGCCCUGGAGGAUAAGGAGAGUAGGCGCCAGUAGAAUGUAAGAGCAGGCACUUGGACUUGGUGGGCCUCCUUCAUUUACUGCCUGUGACCUUUCUGUCAUCUGUUUAAUUAUACCUUUAUCUCCAGUUGCUGAGACGAGUAAACACUUGACAGUUGGCCCCUGCCACACACCUAGGGAGAGUUUAUCAAAUGAUGGACCCUUUCCCAGCUUUAAAUAAGCCCCAUAUAUAAAAACCUGUCUCUGUCAAAGGGGUGUGUAUGUGUUUUAAUACAGCAAAAAAGAAAAAAAAGAAUAAAAAAGUUAGCAGACUUU